rnacentral:tRNA from 1 species
GGCUUAGCUCAGUUGGUAGAGCAACUGAUUUGUAAUCAGUGGGUCAUCAGUUCGAUUCCGUUAGCCG